UCUCCGCCAUCUUCUCCCAUUUCUCUCCCCCCAGCUUUGCCCUUUGCCCUGAAUAACACCCCCCCCCACCACCACCACCCUGGAACUGUUUGGUCUGGCGUUGUUUGUUCUAAGCUGGCGCCGAAGUCUAACACUGUGGGUCCCAGGAAUUGAAUGCAGGUCAUCAGAUUUGGCUGCAAACAUCUUUCCUCACUGAGCCACUACCCUCAAGCCAACAUUUACUCUUUUUAAAAGAAAUUGGAAAACACUUCCUAAAAUCAUUGUUUUGAUUGCCAUGCUCUUAAAAUCCUCAAGUGAGACUUUGGAGCCUUUAUAGCUACCUUCUAAGCUUUUUCCCUAGAAUUUUGUCUUUUUAUUCCUUUUGUGGUUCUUACUUCAGUUCUCUUAAGUCAUAGCUAUUCAGUGUGCUUAUCAUCCCUACCUGAAAGAAUUCUUAACUUUGGUAGUUGUUGUUCAGUCCCUGGCCUCCCUCUGAAUUCUUUUGCAUGUCUAAGGACAGUGUGAAUAUUUAUUAAGUGAAAAAGUGGUCGCGAGGAGACUUCCUGUUCCAGUUUCCUUUGACCCAAGCCUCACGAAGAAUGCUUUCUCUUAAGAAAAGGGGCUUCAGAUUCAGAAGACGGUGAGACGGUACAGGAAAGAGUUUUGAAGAAAAAAUUUUACAGGAGAGCAAACUUUUUGAGAAUUGAUGUUUAUUUUUUAAAAAAAUCCUGUACUUCUACAACUGAUCAUAGGAUGUCCAGUCCCAGUGGAUACAUCUACAACACAACUGUCGCACCCAAGGCUUGGGGGACACUAAUGCAAGAGGGGACAUAAAGACUGUGAGAGCCAGAGGACCAGGAAGUCCACUGUGAGACUGUGUCUCCUAGAAACAACAGGGAAGCUGCACCCGUGAUCCUUCAACAAUAUGGCUGCCCAGACGAGACCUGGACAAUGGCAACACCAACAGACACACUAACAUGGAAAAGUGACAUCACAUGGGCCCUAUCCUAGACAAGAACUACAGGCAACAGGGAGUGAGGAGAGCUUAGGCAGUAGUCUUCCCCUAAGCCCCGAAUUGGUUAUUCUGUACCAAGUGUGCAGCUCUGAAAUCAUACAAGCAACACUAAAUGGACCCGGUCAGUUGUAUUUA